GAUGAACGCUGGCGGCGUGCCUAAUACAUGCAAGUCGAGCGAACAGACGAGGAGCUUGCUCCUCUGUCGUUAGCGGCGGACGGGUGAGUAACACGUGGAUAACCUACCUAUAAGACUGGGAUAACUUCGGGACACCGGAGCUAAUACCGGAUAAUAUAUUGAACCGCAUGGUUCAAUAGUGAAAGACGGUUUUGCUGUCACUUAUAGAUGGAUCCGCGCCGCAUUAGCUAGUUGGUAAGGUAACGGCUUAUCAAGGCAACGAUGCGUAGCCGACCUGAGAGGGUGAUCGGCCACACUGGAACUGAGACACGGUCCAGACUCCUACGGGAGGCAGCAGUAGGGAAUCUUCCGCAAUAGGCGAAAGCCUGACGGAGCAACGCCGCGUGAGAGAUGAAGAUCUUCGGAUCGUAAAACUCUGUUAUUAGGGAAGAACAAAUGUGUAAGUAACUAUGCACGUCUUGACGGUACCUAAUCAGAAAGCCACGGCUAACUACGUG
rnacentral:rRNA from 1 species